rnacentral:rRNA from 1 species
UACGAAGGGUGCAAACGUUGCUCGGAAUUAUUGGGCGUAAAGCGCACGUAGGCGGCUAUCUAAGUCGGAUGUGAAAUCCCUCGGCUUAACCAAGGAAGUGCACCCGAAACUGGAUAGCUUGAGUACAGAAGAGGAUCGCGGAAUUCCCGGUGUAGAGGUGAAAUUCGUAGAUAUCGGGAGGAACACCAGUGGCGAAGGCAGUGUUCUGGGCCAGUACUGACGCUGAGGAGCGAAAGCGUGGGUAGCAAACAGG